rnacentral:misc_RNA from 1 species
GGAAGGAUCAUUAACAAGCCCGUGGAGAUUAUAUUCCCAAAAGGAUGUGAUCUCUCACCCGGCCACCCUUGUUUACCUGACCCCUGUUGCUUUGGUGGGCCAGCCAGAAAGGCCGUUGGGAAACCUAGUUUCCGGGCGAGUGCUCACCAAAGUCCCGUUGAACUCUUUAUGAAGUUAUGCUGUCUGAGCACGCGAAAAUAAAUAUAUUAAAACUUUCAACAACGGAUCUCUUGGUUCUGGCAUCGAUGAAGAACGCAGCGAAAUGCGAUAAGUAAUGUGAAUUGCAGAAUUCCGUGAAUCAUCGAAUCUUUGAACGCAUAUUGCGCCCUCUGGUAUUCCGGGGGGCAUGCCUGUCCGAGCGUCAUUACUAUAUUCAAGCACGGCUUGUGUGUUGAGCAUUUUGUUCCUAUUUUUUUGUGAACAGAGGCUUGAAAUGCAGUAGCGAUGCCUAAAUUGGUUGCCUGAACGUAUGGGGCUCUUAUCACACGUUCUCUGGCUCCAGUAGUGCAUCUUGUUCCAACUUUUUUUUCCAGAAAAAUUGACCUCGGAUCAGGUAGGAAUACCCGCUGAACUUAAGCAUAUCAAUAAGCGGAGGAAAAGAAACCAACAGGGAUUGCCCUAGUAACGGCGAGUGAAGCGGCAAGAGCUCAAAUUUGAAAUCUGGCUUUUUAAAAGUCCGAGUUGUAAUUUGCAGAGGAUGCUUUGGGUGUCGGUUGCAGUUUAAGUCCCCUGGAACGGGGCAUCAUAGAGGGUGAGAAUCCCGUCUGGAACUGCUGGCCUAGCCCAUGUAAAGCUCCUUCGACGAGUCGAGUUGUUUGGGAAUGCAGCUCUAAAUGGGUGGUAAAUUUCAUCUAAAGCUAAAUACCGGCCAGAGACCGAUAGCGCACAAGUAGAGUGAUCGAAAGAUGAAAAGCACUUUGAAAAGAGAGUUAAACAGCAUGUGAAAUUGUUGAAAGGGAAGCGCUUGCAACCAGACUCGCCCGCAUCGGCUCAGCUGCCAUAUUUGGCAGUGCACUCCUUUGCGGUUGGGCCAGCGUCGGUUCCGACGGUUGGUUAAAGACUUCUGGAAUGUGUCGUCUCUCCGGAGACGUCUUAUAGCCAGGGGUGUAAUGCGGCCUGUUGGGACCGAGGAUCGCGCUCCGGGCUCGGACGCUGGCAUAAUGGUCGUAAGCGACCCGUCUUGAAACACGGACCAAGGAGUCUAACAUCCACGCGAGUGUUCGGGUGUUAAACCCGUCCGCGCAGUGAAAGCGAACGGAGGUGGGAUCUUUUUAACAAAAGUGCACCAUCGACCGAUCCUGAUGUCUUCGGAUGGAUUUGAGUAAGAGCGUGGCUGUUGGGACCCGAAAGAUGGUGAACUAUGCCUGAAUAGGGUGAAGCCAGAGGAAACUCUGGUGGAGGCUCGCAGCGGUUCUGACGUGCAAAUCGAUCGUCAAAUUUGGGUAUAGGGGCGAAAGGUGGGUUCUAAAAUUUUUUUGUUUCUUCUAGGCUUUCUGAAAAAAGACAAAUACUAAUUUUUUCUUCAAAACAGACUAAUCGAACCAUCUGGUAGCUGGUUCCUGC